rnacentral:rRNA from 1 species
AUUGAACGCUGGCGGCAUGCCUUACACAUGCAAGUCGAACGGCAGCACGGGUGCUUGCACCUGGUGGCGAGUGGCGAACGGGUGAGUAAUACAUCGGAACGUACCUUAUCGUGGGGGAUAACGCAGCGAAAGCUGUGCUAAUACCGCAUACGCCCUGAGGGGGAAAGCGGGGGAUCGCAAGACCUCGCGCGAUUAGAGCGGCCGAUGCCUGAUUAGAUUGUUGGUGGGGUAAAAGCCCACCAAGGCGACGAUCAGUAGCUGGUCUGAGAGGACGAUCAGCCACACUGUGAGUGAGACACGGCCCAGACUCCUACGGGAGGCAGCAGUGGGGAAUUUUGGACAAUGGGGGCAACCCUGAUCCAGCAAUGCCGCGGGAGUGAAGAAGGCCUUCGGGUUGUAAAGCUCUUUUGUCAGGGAAGAAACACCGGCUCUAACACAGUCCGGGAAUGACGGUACCUGAAGAAUAAGCACCGGCUAACUACGUGCCAGCCGCCGCGGUAA